UACGUAGGGCGCAAGCGUUAUCCGGAAUUAUUGGGCGUAAAGAGCUCGUAGGCGGUUUGUCGCGUCUGCCGUGAAAGUCCGGGGCUCAACUCCGGAUCUGCGGUGGGUACGGGCAGACUAGAGUGAUGUAGGGGAGACUGGAAUUCCUGGUGUAGCGGUGAAAUGCGCAGAUAUCAGGAGGAACACCGAUGGUGAGGGCAGGUCUCUGGGCAUUAACUGACGCUGAGGAGCGAAAGCAUGGGGAGCGAACAGG
rnacentral:rRNA from 1 species